AUAUACAUUUUUUUUUCUUAUUAUUAUUAUUUAUUCACUAUCUUAUCUGUCACAAUUCGUCAAUAUAAUUGUUGGAGUGGAAUCAUCAUAAUAAAUUGUAAUCGGUCCUUAUUGUUGUAUCAUUUGUCCCCUCUCCGGGUUCGGUCGUUAAAAAAAUCUUUUAAACAUUUUUUUCAACCAGUCCAUUGUUUGGUCGUUGAGGUUGUUCGGUUUACUGAGUUUCGGUUGAGAACGGAGUAUUAGCGUUUUUUUUUUUAUUUACAAUUUUCAUUUUUCAUUUUUUUUUCUCGUAAACACCGAAUGAUGACAAUAUAAUCAUGUCCGAUUACUGUUUAGUGCCCACAAUGGAUGAGUCACAUCCCGGGCCGACUGAAACCACAGGCCUGUCAAGGAAAGUUGAGAAAGAAGAGAAAGUUCAUAUCCCUGAAUCGAGCACGACUGGAUUUAGUUUUCGAAAACUAUGGGCAUUUACAGGUCCUGGAUUUUUAAUGAGUAUUGCCUACCUUGAUCCAGGCAAUAUAGAAUCAGACUUACAGUCUGGAACGACUGCCAGGUACAAGUUAUUAUGGGUGUUAAUGAGUGCUACCAUUUUGGGUUUGGUAAUGCAACGUCUGUCAGCUCGCCUCGGUGUGGUUACCGGUCUUCAUUUAGCCGACAUGUGUUAUCGCCAGUACCGAAAAGCUCCAAGACUAUUUGUUUGGCUAAUGAUGGAAGUUGCUAUCAUUGGUUCAGAUAUGCAAGAAGUCAUUGGUACUUCAAUUGCAAUUUAUUUACUGAGUAACAAAAUGAUACCACUUUGGAUAGGAGUGCUGAUCACUGUCAUUGAUACUUUAUCUUUUUUGAUGCUGGACAAGUAUGGACUUCGAAAGUUGGAGCUAGUGUUUGGUCUAUUCAUUGUUAUAAUGGCAUUGUCAUUUGGAUAUGAGUUUGCAAUUGUUCAACCCGAUAUAAAAGAUAUGGCUAAAGGAUUAGUUACUCCUUGGUGUUCAAACUGUCAAGAAUCUGCUCUACUUCAAGCUGUCGGCAUUAUAGGAGCAAUCAUAAUGCCACAUAAUUUAUACUUACAUUCAGGCCUAGUUAAGUCUAGGGAAGUUGACAGAACCAAAAAAGACAAAUUACGAGAAGCCAACUAUUAUUUUUUUAUUGAAUCUACUAUUGCUUUAUUUGUAUCAUUUGUGAUCAACGUGUGUGUUGUAUCAGUUUUUGCUCACGGAUUAUAUGAUAAGACAAAUAGUGAUGUGUUGGAGAUCUGUACCAAAAACAAUAAUACAUACUCAGAUAUUUUCACAAAUGAUACCCAAUUAGUUGAAGUUGAUAUAUAUAAAGGCGGAGUAUUCCUUGGUUGUCAAUUUGGCAUAGGUGCCAUGUAUAUUUGGGCAAUUGGUAUUUUAGCUGCCGGUCAAAGUAGUACAAUGACUGGAUGUUAUGCUGGUCAAUUUGUAAUGGAAGGUUUUUUAAAUCUUCAAUGGAGCCGAUGGAAAAGAGUUGGGUUUACUCGACUGGUUGCUAUAGCACCCACAUUUUAUGUGGCAUUUUUUAGUAAUAUUAAUGACCUGACUGGUAUGAAUGACCUAUUAAAUGCAGUAAUGAGCUUACAACUACCAUUUGCUACACUUCCAGUAAUUGCAUUCACUAGUAAUCCUCGCAUCAUGGGAGAAUUUACCAAUGGAUUGGGAAACAUUUUAAUAACAAUUAUUUUGUCUGCUAUUAUAAUAAGUAUAAACAUAUAUUUUGUAAUCCAUCACACAAUUACUAAUUUCACUUAUAAUUUGCCUUUAAUAAUUGGAGUUAUGGUAUAUAGUACAAUUUAUUUAUUAAUGUGUGCUUAUCUCACACUACAUCUUGUUAUCAGUAUGCUGGAUGAUUGUAGUGUGCUACGUAGAAAUCCAUUUGUUAUUCGAUUUAUUGGUCCACAAAUUGGAAAUACUUUUUCUCAACAUCAACAAACAAAUUCACCUCCAAGCAGCCAAGAUGACAUAACAAAUAUCAAGCUAUAAUAAUGAAUAUGAUGGAAUGUUGUUGCAUGUGUCAAAAGGAUUGCACUUAACACCAUACAACUAGCAAAUUAAAUGAGAAACACAUUGUGGGCAACAUUAUCUAGUUACUAUUAUUGUUAUAUACAUCUGAUGGAAAAAAUAGUGACUAUCUAUUCUAGAUUUUUGUUCGCUGUAAACAAUAUUAUAUAAUAUUUAAUUAUUAUUAAUUUAUUUUCAAAUUGCCUAUAUUUCUAUUUUUAAUUAUUAUAAAUUUUAAAGAGAAAAUAUUUUUUUCUUUAUUAUUUAUCUUAAUUAAUAAUACAAAUUAAAUCUAAUCAAAUGACUAUCGAAUAGUAUACACAGAUUAAAAUAAUCUAAAAUUAUUAUUGUACGUACAUGUAUACAAUUGAAACUAAAUAGUGAUACAAAUCAUCAUUGAUAAUAUAUAAUAUAUAAGUGUGUGCGUGUAAAAUGUUUCUAAAUUUAAACGGAACUUGUUAAAUGUAUUAACAACUGUCAAUGUUUAUCAUUUUUUUCAUUUUUUUUUUCUUAAUAUGUAUUUAUUACAAAGUGUAUAUUUAUUUUAUUUUAUACAAUAAUAAUCAUAAGGUUAUUCAAACUUGGACAAACCUUUAUAAUUAAACAUUAACUUUUCUUUAAGUAAAUAGUUUUCAUAAUAAUUAUUAAUUAUUUUCAUUUUACGUGUAUUCAAUAUUAUUGUUAUUUAUUUGUUUUUGUAACAUAAUCAAUUAUUUUUGUAUACAAGAAAAUGUAUAUCUAACGAAUCAAUAUUUUAUACACAGACAAAAAAAGCAUAUUAAACAUGUGAUAAAAAAAUUGUUAUUGAAAUUGUGUUUUAAUUAGAAAAAUUUAUUAUUUGUUAUAAAUUAAUAUAAAAUACUAGAUAUAUACCUAUAUUUAUUGACAUGUAAAUUAUACUCUUUGCUUCAAUUAUUAAUAUUAUAUGUAUAUAAUUUUAUAUGAAAAAAAUGUAUUUUUGUCUCUCACUUUAUGAUAUAAAAUGUAUACUUAAUUGUAUAUACCUUCUUGGUAAAAUUACAUAUUUAAAAAUAAUUGAUGUUACCCUGCUUAUUACUGUUAUUAUUAUUUUUUAAGAACACAUUUAUACAAAUUUUGUACAAGAUCAUAAUAUUAUGUGCAAUGAAAAUUAUUAACAAUUAUUUUGAACAAUAAAGCAUAAUGUUAAGUAUUAAAAGAAUAGAUACAGUGAAAAGUAAUAUGUAAUAUAUGUAUUAUAUAAGUUAGAACAUAAAUGUUUUAUCUAUAAUUUUGAAUGUACUUAUAUUUUUGAUUUGGCCAUUUACUUAACAAAUAUAUUACAUAAUAUGUAUUGAA